UACGGAGGGUGCAAGCGUUAUCCGGAUUCACUGGGUUUAAAGGGUGCGUAGGUGGGUUUGUAAGUCAGUGGUGAAAUCUCCAAGCUUAACUUGGAACUGCCGUUGAUACUAUAAAUCUUGAAUGUUGUGGAGGUGAGCGGAAUAUGUCAUGUAGCGGUGAAAUGCUUAGAUAUGACAUAGAACACCAAUUGCGAAGGCAGCUACAC
rnacentral:rRNA from 1 species